UUGUGACUUGUUCUGAUUUUGGCAAAGCUUUUCACACUGGAAAUGGGAACAGUCUUUGCAUGCCAGGGGUCAGAAGCAAUUAGGCUUGAGAUUCUGAAGAAAUCUACCAGCAAUUAGCAGUUUGCUACUGCUGUCAAGGAAAUGGAAGCAUAUUUAAGCAUGGAAGGACAAGUUUCGGAAGGACAAGCCCCUUCAAGCUCUUCUACAGCCAUACAAAUUGAACUGAAGAAGGGUGAUUUUUGUAAUCCCUGCCUCUGCUUUUCUGACCACCUCAGUGAGAUGCACGGUGCCUGAUGUCCCAGUACUGGUGGCACCGCAGCGCUCCCGGCGCAGCUCCCGCUCCCACUGCCUGCACUUGUAAGUGCUCAGCACCCCUGCAGGGUAUGCUUCGCCCGACCAAGCACCAAGAAAAACACAGUUGUCUGCUUCAUUCACUCCAGACUUCCAACGGCUGCAACAAAGAAAGCAGAUUCCCCAGGGCACACUUGCUUUUACUGUGCCAUGAGUCCUCCAGCACAGGUCUUUUCUAUGCAGUUUCUUAGCAGAGAAGACCCACGGAAAACUUUGCUCUCAGAAGAAUCACCUGCAGUUCCCUCACUCUCGCCACUCGCAUAAUCUACCAAGUCCAUGUCCCUUUGUCUGCCUCCUCUACCAUCAAAAGAGUGGGGAGUGGGAUGCACGGGAGUGACAGGUUUCCUGAUCCAAUUCCUGUGCUUAAUCGGGCCCCACAUUGCAGCAGCACUGAGCAGCAGGAUCAGGGAAGACUAUUUUGAAUGCCAGUAGCCCCAGGGCUGGAGCAUGCCCAGAUGUUUCAUGGAAUGGCUCCACAGGCCAGUCACACACAGGUGUUUAUUGGCUUGAAGGAAAAAUCAGGAACACUGAGAAUAAUUCAUCCACCACUUGGCUUUUAAAACAGAGCAGGAAUGAGGACAAUGUGCAAAUCUAAAUGGCAGAUAACAGCAGCUAUUAGCUAACAAAUGGGCUUUACUCAGAGUUGUUUGUGUGAUGAACUUUUCCUGGAUUUAACUCAUUUUAGUAUGUUAAGUGAUUAUAUACUUUUUUCACUAAUAUCUGUAAUUUUUAGGAACAAAAUAAGCUGCUACUAACUGUAAUAAGCACAAAUCUAUUUCUUAGAAUUCUGAUUUGUAGUUUACUUUCUCUUUACACUUAAAAGCUAUUUAAAAGCAAAGCCGAUAUAAGCAAAUCAAAAGCAGCAUUGUGCACUUAGAUUAAAUACCUUCAUUUUCACAUCAAAAUUACUUGAAGGGGCAAAGAAUUGCUAUAUGUGAAAAAUCAAAGGAGAAAGGUAAGAAACUAUUCCAAAGAGGUUUGCUACGUUGCACAGCAAAAGCUCUGCACAGCCUCUCCAUGACCUAGACCUCAGCCAGCUCUGCACCGUUUAUUGGUUAUCUCUAAUAAAGCGAAAUCCGAGUACCUUUUCUGUUUUGUUACUUCCAUUUUAACACUAGCAGUAGCAGACAGACAGACAUAAUUUCGUUUUAGCCUGGGAGCUAAAAGAAAUACUUCUAACAUAUAUAUGUACUGUUACAGUCUGCCUUAUAAACCCUCAGUAGUAAAGUCAGCAGGAAUUGAGCACUAAAACUGGAGAAGAGUAAAUGGAAAGAGA